rnacentral:tRNA from 1 species
GGGCGUGUGGUCUAGGGGUAUGGCGUCUGCUUCGCAUUGUAGGUCGUGCGCUUGCUGAAGGUCCGGGGUUCAAUUCCCCGCUCGUCCA